rnacentral:rRNA from 1 species
CCUACGGGGGGCUGCAGUGGGGAAUAUUGGACAAUGGGCGCAAGCCUGAUCCAGCAAUGCCGCGUGUGUGAAGAAGGCCUGCGGGUUGUAAAGCACUUUAAGCAGGAAAGAAGGGGUGAAAGUUAAUACCUUUCAUCAUUGACGUUACCUGCAGAAUAAGCACCGGCUAACUCCGUGCCAGCAGCCGCGGUAAUACGGAGGUAGCGGGCGUUAAUCGGGAUUACUGGGUUUGAUCCGUCCGUAGGGGAAUCCCUGGGCUUAACCUGGGAACUGCGGUGGAUACUGUCGGGCUAGAGUGUGGUAGAGGGGAGUGGAAUUUCCGGUGUAGCAGUGAAAUGCGUAGAGAUCGGAAGGAACACCAGUGGCGAAGGCGGCUCCCUGGACUAACACUGACGCUGAGGUGCGAAAGCGUGGGGAGCAAACAGGAUUAGAUACCCGAGUAGUC